rnacentral:rRNA from 1 species
CCCUGGCUCAGGAUGAACGCUAGCGGCAGGCUUAACACAUGCAAGUCGAGGGGUAUAGUUUUCGGAACUAAGAGACCGGCGCACGGGUGCGUAACGCGUAUGCAAUCUACCUUUUGCAGAGGGAUAGCCCAGAGAAAUUUGGAUUAAUACCUCAUAGUAUAGCAGUUUCGCAUGAAACCACUAUUAAAGUCACAACGGCAAAAGAUGAGCAUGCGUCCCAUUAGCUAGUUGGUAAGGUAACGGCUUACCAAGGCUACGAUGGGUAGGGGUCCUGAGAGGGAGAUCCCCCACACUGGUACUGAGACACGGACCAGACUCCUACGGGAGGCAGCAGUGAGGAAUAUUGGACAAUGGGCGCAAGCCUGAUCCAGCCAUGCCGCGUGCAGGAUGACGGUCCUAUGGAUUGUAAACUGCUUUUGUACAGGAAGAAACACUCCCUCGUGAGGGAGCUUGACGGUACUGUAAGAAUAAGGAUCGGCUAA